UUUCCAUAAUUUUCGUGUUUCCAGUUAUCGAACUCCUAAAAACGCGAUGACGACGACGACUUACAAGGCCAGAUCAAUUAUCUCGCAAGCGAGUCAGCUUCAUCUAUCAAUCUACUUCGUCAGCGUAGGGGAUAAUGAAGAAAAUUUCUUCUGAAGAGCAUGAUUGUUGCAAUGCAUGUGAAGAUGUUUGUAAAGCAUAUAUAAAGACAGUUUGAGGAGUAAUGAAUCCAUAUUUCAUUGACCAGGUGAAUUGCUGAUAAAAAGGUUUCAUUGUUGUUGUAGUAUCACUGAUUGCUUCAUUUCUUUCUUUUUAUAUAUUACACUUGCCUGUUUGAGGUUUUUUUGCAACGAGUAGAGGAUGAAGUAGGUGAAGGGUGUAAAAUAUAUGUGUUCUUGGAGGUGAAUAAAGUUGCGUAAAAGUUCCACUGGUGUAGUUAACCCUCUUGAGAGACAGGUAAUUACAAUUCUGGUAUUAUCCACUCCCACUCCCGUUUAUUUUAUCAUGCUCUCUAGGGGACUUACAUUUUUCAGAGUCCAGUGGAGUGUGAGAAGACUCCCUUGGCGAAGAAGUCGUUAAAUAUUCCGUUGGUGUUGGCUUAUGGACACCAUUCUUACAAGGAAGGUCCAGUUCCAAGAAGUUGAACUGGAAAGAGCAACCAGGCAGCUCAAAGAGGCGUUUCCAAUCGCUAGCCAACAAACGACAAGAUGCGCGGCAGCCCAACGAGUGAUCCAAUCACUCACCACUCAACUGGAAGACAUGGCUGAAAGAUUACCAUUUGGAUCAUCUCGAAAUAUAAUGUCUCCUCCGUCUCUUACUAUUUUCUUCCUGCCCUGGUCGUGUUGACCCUUUUAAUAUCUUACACCGACCAAAUGUUCAAGCACCCGAGCAAAAUUAUGCAAAUUCCUGAUGUUUUCUAAUGGGACCAUUACACAUGUAUUUGAAAAUGGUAAAGCAUCGAUUAAAGCACAGAACGACAAGGGAUGGUUGAACAGGAUGAGCUUGGUUUCUACAUCAGUCAAACGUGUCCGUUUCAGCCGAAAAAAUUUAAGAGCAAAAUGGGAGGAACAGGGUGGCCAGACAACAUAGGAAGAGUACACGACCAAUACAAUGUAUGAAUUGUUGACAAAGCCAAUGUGGAAAUGCCUCUUUGAAACUCUUUUAACACCAACCACUUCUCUUAUUCUUCCACGCAGGGUCAGUUUGGGGGCUGAGAAUGGUGUUUGUUGUGAAAAAAGGAAGCAAAGAAUCUCUUAGAUUACCACUAGCUCAGGUUGUGUCCUCGCUCUUAUCUUCUCUGAGCUUGAAUUCUACAAUUUAAAAAAGCCAUUGCAAAAGCGAUGAAAUAAGAAUGGUAAUGAAUGGGCGAGUCUGGUGGAGAGGGCCACUGAGUUGAGCACUCCAACAAAUCGGAAAACUUCUCCAUUGGUAUCUAUUUUAUUUCAUCUCAAGUGUUGCUGUUUUUGUCAUCCAGCUUAAGGGAAAAGCAGAGUGAAAUGUGGUCAUGCUGAACAGAUAUAUAGAGGCAAAGAAGGAAAAGCUAAUAGUACCUCUUCUCUAAUAUGAAUUACUUUAUGUUGGUAUUGUAUUUGUAUUGAACCUUUGAACAGUUGCCAUAACUUGAGUAAAUAAAAUUUUUUAAAAGAA